rnacentral:rRNA from 1 species
GCGUGGGGGGGACUAUACUGCAGUCGAGCGGAAGAUGGGAGCUUGCUCCCUGAUGUUAUCGGCGGACGGGUGAGUAACACGUGGGUAACCUGCCUGUAAGACUGGGAUAACUCCGGGAAACCGGGGCUAAUACCGGAUGCUUGUUUGAACCGCAUGGUUCAGACAUAAAAGGUGGCUUCGGCUACCACUUACAAAUGGACCCCCGGCGCAUUAUCUAUUUGGGGAGGUAACGGCUCUCCACGGCAACAAUGCGUAGCCCACCUGAGAGGGGGAUCGCCCCCACUGGGACUGAGACACGGCCCACACUCCUACGGGAGGGGGCAGUAGGGAAUCUUCCCCAAUGGACGAAAGUCUGACGGAGCACCGCCGCGUGAGUGAUGAAGGUUUUCGGAUCGUAAAGCUCUGUUGUUAGGGAAAAAAAAGUGCCGUUCAAAUAGGGCGGCACCUUGACGGUACCUAACCAAAAAGCCACGGCUAACUACGUGCCAGCAGCCGCGGUAAUACGUAGGUGGCAAGCGUUGUCCGGAAUUAUUGGGCGUAAAGGGCUCGCAGGGGGUUUCUUAAGUCUGAUGUGAAAGCCCCCGGCUCAACCGGGGAGGGUCAUUGGAAACUGGGGAACUUGAGUGCAGAAGAGGAAAGUGGAAUUCCACGUGUAGCGGUGAAAUGCGUAGAGAUGUGGAGGAACACCAGUGGCGAAGGCGACUCUCUGGUCUGUAACUGACGCUGAGGAGCGAAAGCGUGGGGAGCGAACAGGAUUAGAUACCCCUGGGUAGUCCCACGCCGUAAACGAUGAGUGCUAAGUGUUAGGGGUUUUCCCGCCCCCUUAGUGCUGCAGACUAACGUCCAUUAAGCACCUCCCGGCCUGGGGGGGAAGAUAACGGGUCGCCCAAGAACCUGUAG